UAAGCAUUUGCUGUACACUUAAUCUGGGCUUCCCGCUGUACUGAGAUGGAAAGGAGAAGGGGAAGGAAAUCAGAAGUAACGAUAAGACUCUGCCUUCCUGGCAUUCACAGACAAGCAAGAAAGACAGAACUCUACCUCCAGCAUGGAAGAAUGACUGGAAUGGAAUCAUUGAGCUUUCAAGUGUGUAAAGUUCACCUGGAUGGUUUUAAGAAAUUUUUGGAGUCCUCUAAUACUUGCUUCUUGGACCAAAGUUAAUUCCUUGAUUAGAUCAUUAUCCUUAUGAACCCUUUCUUCACAAUUGCAAUGGCAGAAGAGAUGUUGCCAGGCCUUUCAGGAAGGGAGAGACACCCAGGUGUGACCCAGUAAGUUAGUAUCAGUCCUCACCCCACCCCUUCCUGUAGGAAAGGAUCUUAUAACCUGGAAAGGGGAGGGAGCGGAGAGGUGGUCCAUCUAUUCCCGUGCUGUCAGGUCACAUCACAAAGCAGGACACAUGCUCUCCACCCCUGUUUUCUGUUCACAUUGGAGACUUUUUCAACUGGAAAGCGCCUUGGGCCCUGGAGCUAUGAUGUGUAAGGAAGACAGGGUUGGCUGCCGUUAUAAAGCAAACAGAUGGAAAAUGGAAAGGCCCUGCCAUAAUUCUUCAGAACAUGGUUGGUCUCCAGCUGUUACCCUGCAGGUGGGCCUCUCAUUAAAGUCAGCACAAAAAUGCUGCUGCUGGUGAGCUUCCCUGGGAUUGCAAACAUGUUUUCUGUCCAGACACAGCUCUGCCCUUUUGACAACAACAGAAAAGCAGUCUUUGGAACGAGACUUCUGCUUAUCAAGAGAGUUUCCCUGCUUCAGAUCUGUCUGGAAACAGUUUACCUCAGGGUUGGCAGGUCAGCAGGUGGAGUAGCUGCAAGGGCUUUACCUCUCCUGCAUAGUCUGGGGAGACCUCACCGUACCCCACAGUAUUUGGGAAUCAAUUUUAUCCUCUGAUGCCUCUGCCUUCCUUAUUACCCCCUUUAUAUCAUUAUCUGUUCCUGACCUCACUUCAUGAAACGUGUCUACCUGCCUGGUGAAUCUCAAGUACCCAUCAAAGAGCCCAAGAAUCUUGGACCUUGCCAGACUGAAUACUCAGACUCCUUUCGUAACCAUUUAAAAAUAUGCCAUGGUAUCUGGAGUUCCAAGUCCAGGGGUUUUCUUUGCACUAGGGACUUCAAACACCACCACAGGACUGCAAACAGGAGCCAAGUGGGGGCUCAUUUGUGAAAGCACUGUAUUAGUCUAUUUGUGUCCACUCCCCUCCAUUUUUAUCAGCAAAGCAUCUAUUAGUGAGCAAUUACCAAUUCACCGACCUGAGAGCUUUCUGCUGUGAAAUAUUUCCCAGUGAAUCAACAAGCCAAGUUGUUGGACUGCUAUGAAUGAUAAAAUGGCAUCCUUGGUCCUCUUUUUGAUACUCAGACUAUAUUGUUGCCCUGGGAAGAAACAAGCUCCAAACUCACAUUUAAGACCCCAGAUAAAAAAGUGACGCUCAAGUUGCGCUUCACAGGUGUUUUGGCACUAGCACGUCCACCAGGGAAUUUCUUAAGUCAAAUGAGCAGAUGGACUUGCCAUUUGAUAUCCUGAGCUUGUCCUGCACGAAUCAACUCCUAAAUAUUAUUCUGCUCUGUGGGCAAUUCUCUGCAAUCAAAUCUCUGGUAGGUUUCCCUUGAAAACUGCUCUUGGAAAUUCACCUGACGUGUUUCCUUCCUCUAAAGCUUGUGUAACUACACAGACAGAAGACUUCUUGGGCCAAAGAGAUUCCUGCACAACCAAGAAUGGCAAAAUAAAUAAUAGUUUGACUGGUGAGAAGAAGAAAGAUGCACCAGAGCCUGGAUUUAUAACUGCUAACCAUUCUUCUCAUUUUGCUCAGGAAAGGUACUUUUCUAAUCCACCUGCUCAAUUAUUUCUCAUGCUAUGUGUCUCCUCUUAAUUGUCACUGGGGCAAAGCCUUUAUGUUGUAAGGGGACACCCUAGUAUUUUUUUUAAAGACCUUAGGCGAAGUGAUUGACACUGGAUCCUGGAGUCAGAUGUUCCCAGUGACGCAACUUGUUCUUCCAGUGGCCGAAAAGCUUCCUGCCACGAUUAAGUUAGAACUGUGAAAGUGCUAAAAUGUGUUGUCAGCCUUCCUCUGAUGCAAGCACUUUUAUUAUAGAGCCUAGUUGCAAGGAGUAUAGAAACAUGAAUCCUGUCUCCAAAUACCUCUCCUCUCUGGACUAGGCACUCUAUGCACAAAGGCAAUGUGUUCUCUACAUGCCCUGGGAGCUUGAAAUACACAAGGUAACAGUCAUGCCUCCACCAAACUCAGCUUUUCCUUGGCUCUACUCUUGUCCCAUUUCAUUUGUUCUUCUGGGUUCAUACAACAACUGAAUUAUGGUUGGCAGUCUCCAGUGCUGAAACACUCACCAAGUAGUCUAGUCCAAGCAAGAAGAAGCAACCCAUUCUGUAUUUGAGCUUGACAUGGAAAAUCACUUGUUUGCUUCUUCAAUAGGAGACUGAGAUGGAGCAAAAGUAUGUUUUUAUUGUUUCUGACACAGCCCAUACUUCCUAUGCAAAUGCUUGAGAACCUGGGAGCAAUGGGUGUCAGAUACACCACCAUCCAGUGUUGGAAGAUCCAUUCCCUCUUAAAACAACACAAAGGCCUUUGUCAACUCCCCUCUUCCUGGGUGGUUUCCCUGAGCCUGCUGCAGGGUUCACAGGCAAAGGGUAUUUUUUGGAUGUGGCUGAGUGGUUAGACAGGGAAUAAUCUGGUUUAUUACUGAUGCAUUAAUUUAUGGAUGCUGUGCUACAACUAGUGCAAUAAUACCAAAACACACACAAAGCUAUGGACCAUAAAAUUUUCUAAUUAAAUUGGAAAGGAUGGAGAAACCAAUAGGGAGAAGACUAUACUACCAUUAUAUUUAUGCUUGACUCUUGUAAGUAUUUAUUCCAGAUUACCAUAGACACUGUGUCCCCAUUCUAUCUUGAAAUCAGAGAUGUUGGAAUCCAAAUAUGUGGUUAAUACUCAGAUUGGGAAACUGGGCUCUGUAGAUUUGUAUUGCUUCUGGAGAAUGUUUCUGCCUGAACUGUCUGAGCUAGGGUCAUCUUAAUUCAAGUGCAAUGCAUACCUUUAACUAACUCAAUUUCUGUUACCUAGAUGUGCUUGGUCCAUUGUACAUGCUCAGCAAAUACUGAGAAAAUAAGAGAAUGAAUGGAAAAGAACUCAGUGUGAGAAGAGAGCUAGCCUGAAUCAGCAGUUCCCUAACAUUGCUGCAUAUCCGAUGUGCUUACAAGCUUGUUAUAUUCAAUGUCUUUUCAAGUACCUCUUCCCCAUCGACCCAUAUUAUUUUUAAAUUAAUUAUAAUAAUUCAAAAAAAAUUAUAAUAAUUCAAAUAUUAUAGACAUUUCUAAACAAAAAUCAUCUCCUUCCUUUUUCUUGAAGCAAGACCCCAACGAUGCAAACACUCUUAACAACUCACCGUGUGUUCCUUUGUAUUUUUUCUUUGUUUACACAAAUGCACAGCCUUUCACCUUGCCAUAUAAAAAUGACAUUGAAUGAAAAUACUUGUUAAAACUUGACUUUUCACAUAAUGUAUUGCACUCUUCCCAGUUAAUACAAUACAUCCCAAGCUGCUUCAUUCACUUCAUUUUCCUCCAUAGCACCCCACAAUAUAAUUACAUAUUGAUUCUUUCAAAGGUUGUUUGUGUGGGCUCAUAAACGUUGGAAA